AUGCCCGCCCGGGAUGCGGCUCUUGUGCUCGUCAAGGUCGUCCUUCCUCCGGUCCCUGUCCCAGGACAAGCAGAAGCAGCAGCAGCGUCAAGUCGCAGGACCCGACGGCGGCGGAUGAGGAGGAGGACAUGGACCCUUGAUGGUCGCCCCCCACGACCUCUUUUCUUCAUCGACGCCAAGGACGACCCAGCCAGCCAUCAAGCAAGCAAAACAAAGUGCACUAUGCUGCAGAUCGAGCACGCCAUCGGAUGGAUCCAUCAAGGGCUUCUUGGAAUUGAAGGUGCCGGGAGAGGAAGGCUGCCUGCUUGCCCGACGACGCGCUUCCACUCCACUGAUUGGUUCGUCGUAGGACAUGAUGGAGGAGGAGAAAGAUUCUCCCGCUGGCCUGCUGAUGGGUUCGUCCGAGCAAGACCUCUUCUCUUCAUCAACACCAAGAGCGACCACAACCAACACUCAAGCACAGGAGGGUGA
rnacentral:rRNA from 1 species